rnacentral:misc_RNA from 1 species
AAAUUACAGAUAAUUAAUUUGAACGUAUCAAAUUGUUUUACAAAUUCGAUAUCGUUAACUGAUAAAACUCAUACCCCCCACGUGUAAAUACCAAUACAUUUUCAUUUUGGAAUUUAAUUUGUUCACGGUUGAAUAACAUCGAUCGCGCAAUGAAUAACAUACUCCAUUAAUUAUAUACGUUAAAACGAUUCAUAUUUCACUACGCGAAUUGACUCCCGGAACCGCGCAAAAUACGGUUUGUAUUUAACAAACAAAAGAAAAGGGAGAAGACCAACAUUCCAGAAUGCAGAUCAUGGAAUAUGGCAUUUGGCGAGAGAUCGUCGUCGCGUUUUUUUUUCUCUCUCGAUAUUUUUGUCCUUGUUAGCUUUUCUCUAAUGUUCGCCCUUUCGUCUCUUUCCCCUUCCUCGACGAACGUAAUAAAUCUUACUGGUCAUCAUCCACUAUACUCUCGAUCGUUUUAUCCCGUUCUUUCGAAGCUGUUUCUCGCUUUGCUCCUCGUUUUUCACUUUUUUCUCCCGUGUUUUCCGGCUCUUUUUCCUUUCUUUCUCUUCCUCCCUUUCCUUUCUUUUUUUCAUUCGCCGGUGCCUGGCUACAAUCCGGCUGCCGGCGCGCUCGCCAGGCCACGGAGAUUAAAAAAAGAAAGGAAAGGAAAGAACGUAACCAUGUAACAAAGAAGAGAAAUUUGCCGCUACUUAACGAUACCGAUUACAAAAGGGGAUGACACGACUCAACUAGAGUCGAUCGUGUUUCAACGGUCGAACGAGCAAGAUACGAGUGUAUCGAUUCGGAUUAAGCUAAACGUGUAUACGAUCGCACGAGCUGGCCAAUUCGCGGCCAAUGAAUAAGAACGAAGGUUGUUCGUAUCGCGCGUGAAUACUCGUGCGUUGGUCGAUGUCGACGAUCGAAGCGCGCAAAGACUAAGAAAAAGAAUUGGAAAAAGAAAUUUUUGGACGGAACGUUAUGAUCCCGCAAGCGAUUUGGCUUGUGUACGCUACGCCGUCGCCGGCAGCUUGCGCGUCACUGCGGAGAAACCGUUGUACGGCUGGCUUGGUUUGGCAUC